rnacentral:rRNA from 1 species
GACGAACUGCCCAAACGUUGUUCGGAAUCACUGGGCUUAAAGGGCGCGUAGGCGGCAGAUAAAGUCAGGGGUGAAAUCCGGCAGCUCAACUGUCGAAGUGCCUUUGAUACUGAUUUGCUCGAGGGAGAUAGGGGUCUGCGGAACUUCUGGUGGAGCGGUGAAAUGCGUUGAUAUCAGAAGGAACGCCGGUGGCGAAAGCGGCGGACUGGAUCUCUCCUGACGCUGAGGCGCGAAAGCGAGGGGAGCAAACGGG